AACGCUUUUUUAAUGUGGAACCUUUCUCCAAAAAUUCAUCCCAUAUUUGGUGGAUAAACAUCCUUUAUUAAUGGAGUGAGGGCUGCUGUCAGCACCAGUGCUCAUCCCUUCACUUGAUUUAAGGUUGAGAGUUCAAGCAAGACCCUGACUGACCCUGGUCAUUCUUUUGGUUUCCAGCCAACCCGAGGU